CUUUGCUCCUCGCCUCUCUUCUGGCUGCAUGGCCCUUGCGCUCGCUCAGCUUGCUAGUGACCAGCACAUGGCGCUCGGCCUCAAUUUCGCCAUGACUGUGUCCCUGCAGCAGCGCCGUCCGGCCAUCAGCAGCAUCGGCGAGCUCGCUUCGAGCUCCGUCCAUGGCCGCGAGUCCACCUCCGCUGAGCUGCCAGUUUCCAGCUCCUCUAUCAUUUGCUCCGGCGUGCGGGCGUCACUCGUCCGUGAUCCCAGCCGUGCUAGUUGACAUGGUCGGCCAUUUUAGCCGGCAUCGCCACCAGCCGUCCGUCGCCUUCCUGCUCCCCACGCCGACGUCCAGUGCAUCGUCGCCAGGGUUCGACUUGCAGCUUGUGCAAGCUGCUAUCGAGCUCGCCCGGCCAUGGCGCUCACGCCCCAGCCUUUUGCCUGCUCCUCGCACCGUGAUUGCCGAGUUCACCGGCAACAGCAGUCUCGUCGUGCCGCAAACUGUGAGCUGGGUCUCCGCUGUUUUCGGCGGUCGACUAGCUCGCCAAGGCGUUUUUCACCAGUGAAGCAUACUUGUCAUGCCCAGUGUCCUCGCCGUGUCUGUAAAGCCGUUGUGGAGUUGUUGUUGUUCGCCUCCACGCCAUGUGAGACAGCGUCGUCGAUCCCUUCAAGGUGCUCGUCGUCGUCUCCUCAUCGCCUUGCCGAACGUCUCGGACCACACCAGCCUGUCGCUGGAGAAACAUAGUGCAGUACGAUGCCCCAUCAAGUGUUCGGUGUUAUGCGCGAACUAGAAGUCGUUGCUGAUAUCGCGGUCUUCAAGUUGAGUUUAUUUUAUUGUUUAUCACGUGAUGCAGAAAACGAGUCAACUCGACUGUAAGAUGAUGUAAUGGGUGGGCUACUCCACAAGGUAAUGCUGAUGGAUCAACCUGAAGAAGAACCGACUGAACAAGUGCCAACACAAAAGGAUGGUCGUCAAGUGGUCGUCAUCUAACAAACACUUACGUAGUGUUAUUCCAGAAGGCGAGAAUCCAGAUGUGACGUGCGAGUGAAUACCAGUCAGCGUGAACAGUACGAUGUCACUGUUCAUCUAUUUAUAAGCACAGAACGCAGCCUGUGUAGAAUUACAACCAUGCCCUUAACAUUUACUAUUGACUUAGGGAUAAUAUAUCGAGGACUAGACAGUCUUUUCCCCUUUAAGUCAGUUUCAUUUUCCACCGCUAAGCCGAAGCUUUUCCACAGGUGGCUUCGGAACUGGUUCAUGCUUCUCUCGAACCACGCUCUUCAUAUCAUGUACAACUUCAUCCCAUGUCCGAAGGUUCCUGUACAUAUAUUAUACUUGGGAAACAUGUUAGUUGUGUUUUGAGGACCUUCGGAAGACGAAGGCCCCCAAU